rnacentral:tRNA from 1 species
GGGAGUAUGGCUCAAGUGGUAGAGCACCUGCCUACCAAGCAGGAGGCUGUGAGUUCAAACACUAGUACUGCCA